UACGUAGGGUGCGAGCGUUGUCCGGAUUUAUUGGGCGUAAAGGGCGCGUAGGCGGCUCGGCACGUCCGUUGUGAAAUCGCCCGGCUCAACUGGGCGGGGUCGGCGGAUACGGCCGAGCUGGAGCAAGCUAGGGGGUAAUGGAAUUCCCGGUGUAGUGGUGGAAUGCGUAGAUAUCGGGAGGAACACCAGUGGCGAAGGCGGUUACCUGGAGCUUUGCUGACGCUGAUGCGCGAAAGCGUGGGGAGCGAGCCGG
rnacentral:rRNA from 1 species